GUGGGGAAUAUUCCGCAAUGGACGAAAGUCUGACGGAGCAACGCCGCGUGAGUGAUGAAGGUUUUCGGACUGUAAAGCUCUGUUGUUUAGGACGAAAGUGCCUGUUGCAAAUAGUUACAGGUAUUGACGGUACUGAACGAGGAAGCCACGGCUAACUACGUGCCAGCAGCCGCGGUAAUACGUAGGUGGCAAGCGUUGUCCGGAAUUAUUGGGCGUAAAGAGCAUGUAGGCGGGAAUCUAAGUCUGUUGUGAAAAUGCGGGGCUCAACCCCGUAUUGCGAUGGAAACUGGGUUUCUUGAGUGCAGGAGAGGAAAGGGGAAUUCCCAGUGUAGCGGUGAAAUGCGUAGAUAUUGGGAGGAACACCAGUGGCGAAGGCGCCUUUCUGGACUGUGUCUGACGCUGAGAUGCGAAAGCCAGGGGAGCAAACGGGAUUAGAAACCCUAGUAGUCC
rnacentral:rRNA from 1 species